rnacentral:rRNA from 1 species
GUGCCAGCAGCCGCGGUAAUACGUAGGUGGCAAGCGUUGUCCGGAUUUACUGGGCGUAAAGAGCGCGCAGGCGGUCGUUCAAGUCGCGUGUGAAAGCCCCCCGGCUCAACUGGGGAGGGUCACGCGAUACUGAUCGACUCGAAGGCAGGAGAGGGAAGUGGAAUUCCCGGUGUAGUGGUGAAAUGCGUAGAUAUCGGGAGGAACACCAGUGGCGAAGGCGACUUCCUGGCCUGUUCUUGACGCUGAGGCGCGAAAGCUAGGGGAGCGAACGGGAUUAGAUACCUCGGUAGUCCUAGCCGUAAACGAUGGACACUAGGUGUUGGUGGUAUCAACCCCGCCAGUGCCGAAGCUAACGCAUUAAGUGUCCCGCCUGGGGAGUACGGCCGCAAGGCUAAAACUCAAAGGAAUUGACGG